AGAUCUGUUCAUAGGGUAGUGAACAGGGUAAUAAAAAGAAAUACCUGUUGAGA
rnacentral:sRNA from 25 species